GGGUUUGUAGCUCAGUGGUAGAACAUCUGCUUUGAAUGCAGAAGGUUUCAGGUUUAAUCCUUGUCUACAGGUGUG